rnacentral:rRNA from 1 species
GAUGAACGCUGGCGGCGUGCCUAAUACAUGCAAGUCGAGCGAACGGACGAGAAGCUUGCUUUUCUGAUGUUAGCGGCGGACGGGUGAGUAACACGUGGAUAACCUACCUAUAAGACUGGUAUAACUUCGGGAAACCGGAGCUAAUACCGUAUAAUAUUUUGAACCGCAUGGUUCAAAAGUGAAAUACGGUCUUGCUGUCACUUAUAGAUGGAUCCGCGCUUCAUUAGCUAGUUGGUAAGGUAACGGCUUACCAAGGCAACGAUGCAUAGCCGACCUGAGAGGGGGAUCGGCCACACUGGAACUGAGACACGGUCCAGACUCCUACGGGAGGCAGCAGUAGGGAAUCUUCCGCAAUGGGCGAAAGCCUGACGGAGCAACGCCGCGUGAGUGAUGAAGGUCUUCGGAUCGUAAAACUCUGUUAUUAGGGAAGAACAUAUGUGUAAGUAACUGUGCACAUCUUGACGGUACCUAAUCAGAAAGCCACGGCUAACUACGUG